rnacentral:rRNA from 1 species
UACGUAGGGGGCAAGCGUUGUCCGGAUUUAUUGGGCGUAAAGAGCGUGUAGGCGGCCAAGCAGGUCAGCUGUGAAAACUCGAGGCUCAACCUCGAGACGUCGGUUGAAACCGUUUGGCUAGAGUCCGGAAGAGGAGAGUGGAAUUCCCGGUGUAGCGGUGAAAUGCGCAGAUAUCGGGAAGAACACCGGUGGCGAAGGCGGGUCUCUGGGCCGAUACUGACGCUGAGGAGCGAAAGCGUGGGGAGCGAACAGG